rnacentral:rRNA from 1 species
CUGCCCAAAACACCUAGCUAUGCCACACCCACAAGGGAAUUCAGCAGUGAUUAACAUUGAGCAUUAGCGCAAGCUUGACUCAGUUAAAGUAAACAGAGCCGGCUAAUCUGGUGCCAGCCGCCGCGGUUACACCACGUGGCUCAAGUCGACCUCCUCCGGCGUAAAGCGUGAUUAAAGUUAUACACCACUAGAGUAAAAUUAAAACUGAGCUGUGACACGCCUGUUUAUUAAGAAACUCGAAAACGAAAGUUACUCUAAUUAAAUCACUUGAAUUCACGACAGCUGGGGAACAAACUGGGAUUAGAUACCCCACUAUGCCCAGCCGUAAACUUUUAUUUACACUCAAAUCGCCAGGGAACUACGAGCUAAGCUUAAAACCCAAAGGACUUGACGGUACCCCACAUCCCCCUAGAGGAGCCUGUCCUAUAAUCGAUAAUCCACGUUUAACCUCACCAUUUUUAGUUAAUCAGCCUGUAUACCUCCGUCGUCAGCUUACCCCGUGAGCGUCAAUUAGUGAGCUUAAUGUUAUUUCACCAAUACGUCAGGUCAAGGUGCAGCAAAUGAAAUGGAAAGAGAUGGGCUACACUUUCUAUAUUAGAAGAAACGAAAAACUAUUUAUGAAACCUAGUUAGAAGGCGGAUUUAGCAGUAAAAAGGAAUCAGCAUGUCCAUUUUAACCCGGCACU